rnacentral:lncRNA from 1 species
AUUUUCAACAAUAUCAUCCUGUUUUCAAACCAGGACACUUUCUCACAUUUUACCCUUUUCUACACUUCCAACAGCAAUUAUGUGAAAACAGCCAUGAGCACGUUGCUUAUAGAGCUGGAUUUACCAGAGAGGCUCCUGAUGGUUUUCCAUCAUCUUGCCCUCCAGAUCCCAUUAAAGAGGAGCUGCACAGCAAAUGUCCCUCAAACCUUCCCAAAAUGUGUCUGGGGUUGUAUCCUUUGAUUGCAAGGCUGUUGUGAAUGUUAUCAUAAAAAAUCAGGAAAGGAGGAGGAGCAGAAAGACACCAGCACACAUGGAAUGGAAGAUGAAUGCAAUUAUAAUGCAUGAUGUAGGAGGAAGAAAAUUAUGGGGAAAUUAUCUUUAGCAGUUCACUGAUAACUACCUUCAUAGUUUAUAAAAGAGUCACUGAAAAUAUAUAUGUAAAUUAACUGAAUUUUCUAUUGGAGUUUUCCUUUGCUGUCUAGGUUGUGAACCUUAGUGAAAUUUUGUAAAUUAAGGAAAAUGAUAAAAUAAAAGCCAAUAUGUUUUAUUUUAAAUUAUUUCU